rnacentral:rRNA from 1 species
GGCGCUCCCCCUUGACCAUU